rnacentral:misc_RNA from 1 species
UCACCCCUCAAGCCCCUGGGCUCGGUGUUGGGGACCGGCGGGACAGCCGCGGAUCUUCUUCCGCAGCGAGUCGCCGCCCCCCAAAUGACUUGGCGGCCUCGUCGCGGCCCUCCUCUGCGUAGUAUAGCACACCUCGCAACAGGAGCCCGGCGAAUGGCCACUGCCGUAAAACCCCCCAACUUUUUCAG